CAUCCACAACACGUUGGCGUCGUCCUUCCCAAGGUCCAAGGCCCGCAUGGCAAGCCGAAGACCUGCCGCCGUCUCCGCCUCAACCUGCUCCGCCCAUCCCUGCUGGCGCCGCUCC
rnacentral:misc_RNA from 1 species